rnacentral:rRNA from 1 species
AUCGAACGCUGGCGGCAGGCCUAACACAUGCAAGUCGAGCGGAUGAAGGGAGCUUGCUCCUGGAUUCAGCGGCGGACGGGGGAGUAAUGCCUAGGAAUCUGCCUGGUAGUGGGGUAUAACGUCCGGAAACGGGCGCUAAUACCGCAUACUUCCUGCUGCAGCAAGUUGGGGGUCUUCGGACCUCACGCUAUCAGAUGAGCUUAGGUCGGAUUAGCUAGUUGGUGGGGUAGAGGGCUACCAAGGCGACGAUCCGUAACUGGUCUGAGAGGCUGAUCAGUCACACUGGAACUGAGACACGGUCCAGACUCCUACGGGAGGCAGCAGUGGGGAAUAGUGGACAGUGGGCGAAAGCCUGAUACAGUCAUGCCGCGUGUGUGACGAAGGUCUUCGGAUUGUAAAGCACUCUAAGGGGGGAGGAAGGGCAGUAAGUUAAUACCUUGCUGGUUUGACGUUAACAACAGAAUAAGCACCGGCUAACUUCGUG